rnacentral:rRNA from 1 species
GCAAUCUGCCCUUCACUCUGGGACAAGCCCUGGAAACGGGGUCUAAUACCGGAUAAUACUCUGUCCCGCAUGGGACGGGGUUGAAAGCUCCGGCGGUGAAGGAUGAGCCCGCGGCCUAUCAGCUUGUUGGUGGGGUAAUGGCCUACCAAGGCGACGACGGGUAGCCGGCCUGAGAGGGCGACCGGCCACACUGGGACUGAGACACGGCCCAGACUCCUACGGGAGGCAGCAGUGGGGAAUAUUGCACAAUGGGCGAAAGCCUGAUGCAGCGACGCCGCGUGAGGGAUGACGGCCUUCGGGUUGUAAACCUCUUUCAGCAGGGAAGAAGCGAAAGUGACGGUACCUGCAGAAGAAGCGCCGGCUAACUACGUGCCAGCAGCCGCGGUAAUACGUAGGGCGCAAGCGUUGUCCGGAAUUAUUGGGCGUAAAGAGCUCGUAGGCGGCUUGUCACGUCGGAUGUGAAAGCCCGGGGCUUAACCCCGGGUCUGCAUUCGAUACGGGCUAGCUAGAGUGUGGUAGGGGAGAUCGGAAUUCCUGGUGUAGCGGUGAAAUGCGCAGAUAUCAGGAGGAACACCGGUGGCGAAGGCGGAUCUCUGGGCCAUUACUGACGCUGAGGAGCGAAAGCGUGGGGAGCGAACAGGAUUAGAUACCCUGGUAGUCCACGCCGUAAACGUUGGGAACUAGGUGUUGGCGACAUUCC